UACGGGGGGGGGCAAGCGUUGUUCGGAAUUACUGGGCGUAAAGGGCUCGUAGGCGGCCAACUAAGUCAGACGUGAAAUCCCUCGGCUUAACCGGGGAACUGCGUCUGAUACUGGAUGGCUUGAGUUCGGGGAGAGGGAUGCGGAAUUCCAGGUGUAGCGGUGAAAUGCGUAGAUAAUCUGGAGGAACACCGGUGGCGAAGGCGGCAUCCUGGACCGACACUGACGCGUGAGGAGACGCAAAGGCCAGGG
rnacentral:rRNA from 1 species